UACGAAGGGUGCAAGCGUUACUCGGAAUUACUGGGCGUAAAGCGUGCGUAGGUGGUUUGUUAAGUCUGUUGUGAAAGCCCCGGGCUCAACCUGGGAAUGGCAAUGGAUACUGGCAGGCUAGAGUGCGGUAGAGGGUAGUGGAAUUCCCGGUGUGGCGGUGAAAUGCGUAGAGAUCCGGAGGAACACCGACGGCGUAAGCAGCGCCCUAAACGAGUACUGACGCUCAGGCACGAAAGCUGGGGGAGCAAACAGG
rnacentral:rRNA from 1 species